rnacentral:lncRNA from 10 species
AACUUUUUUCGGGGAAGGAGACGGCUGCAAGCCCGCGGUCUCUUGUUGCUGUGCUAACGACCGUUGGAACCCUCUUUCUGGCUCUUGGAACGCUCGGCUCUGAGAGGCUCCAGGUUUCUCCGCCAGAGCUCCUGUCGCUCUGUCAGUUGCGCUGUGUUCCUCUCUAGUCACAAGAGCCUUGGGGAAGACAGUUGGAAGCUCAGACAUGUUGGAGUCUUGCUCUGUCACCCAGGCUGGAGUGCAGUGGCGCAAUCUCAGCUUACGGCAAGCUCCGCCUCCCGGGUUCAUGCCAUUCUCCUGCCUCAGCCUCCCGAGUAGCUAGGACUACAGGCGCCCGCCACCACACCCGGCUAAUUUUUGUAUUUUUAGUAGAGACAAGGUUUCACCGUGUUAGCCAGGAUGGUCUCGAUCUCUUGACCUCGUGAUCUGCCCACCUCGGUCUCCCAAAGUGCUGGGAUGACAGGCGUGAGCCACCAUGUCCAGCUGUAACUUAGAACUAUUUAAAGAGGCAAAGGCAUAGGAGAAUAAAGGAAGGAAGAAGUAACUCGUGGAAUGUUGCGAAAGGA